GUCUCGUGAUGAUUUUUAAGGACCGAGCGAGUCUUGCAGCGCGAGGUGUCGAUCCAUCAUCCAAGUUUUUGACCUAUCAGCCUCCGACGGGAGGGUAUUGGCACACCGCGGUAAUGAAGGGUUACGGGGAAUUAGGGUUCGAUUCCGGAGAG
rnacentral:rRNA from 1 species